rnacentral:rRNA from 1 species
GGUACACGCUGUGACUAGCAUAUCAAUAAGCGGAGGAAAAGAAACUAACAAGGAUUCCCCUAGUAACGGCGAGUGAAGCGGGAAGAGCUCAAAUUUGAAAUCUUAAAGGGUUUCCCUUUACGAAUUGUAGUUUAAAGAAGUGUUUUCUGUUGAGGUUUUGGUAAAAGUUCUUUGGAAUAGGACAUCAUAGAGGGUGAGAAUCCCGUAUUUGACCUUUACUUUCAACUUUGUGAUACACUUUCAAAGAGUCGGAUUGUUUGGGAAUGCAGUCCAAAAUGGGUGGUAAAUUUCAUCUAAAGCUAAAUAUUGGCGAGAGACCGAUAGCGAACAAGUACCGUGAGGGAAAGAUGAAAAGAACUUUGAAAAGAGAGUUAAACAGUACGUGAAAUUGUCAAAAGGGAAGCGUUUGACACCAGUGUUGUUUUUCUGAAAAUCAAUUAAAGAACUGUUUAUGCUAAGCUGUUUAGACUUUAUCAGCUAUCUGUUUAGUUUUGAGCUUUUCUUUAAUGCACUUUUCAGUUAACAAGUCAACAUCAAUUUCUUUUGCUGUAAAAAAGCUUGAGGAAGGUGGCUUGAGAUUCGUCUUAAGUGUUUAUAGCCUCUUGCCUAUGCAGUCGGAGAGAUUGAGGUCUGCAGCGUAGAUCCUUCGGGGCUAAAUGCAUUUGUGCUAAGUUAUAGCAUUUCAUAGACAACUUGUUGACUAUGAUUUGUCUUGUAGCUUACUCGCUUAUGUUAUUUUACCUACGCUUAGGAUGUUGAAGUCAUCGUAUCGCGC